UCCUCGAUGGUCUAGUGGUCAUGAGUAAGUCAAUCACAAUAACGAGCGCGGGAGACCAGGGUUCGAUUCCCUGUCGGGGAG
rnacentral:tRNA from 1 species